rnacentral:misc_RNA from 1 species
GAAAUGCGAUAAGUAAUGUGAAUUGCAGAAUUCAGUGAAUCAUCGAAUCUUUGAACGCACAUUGCGCCCUUUGGUAUUCCGAAGGGCAUGCCUGUUCGAGCGUCAUUAUAACCACUCAAGCCUUUGCUUGGUCUUGGGGCUCGCGGUUCCGCGGCCCCUAAAAUCAGUGGCGGUGCCUGUCGGCUCUACGCGUAGUAAUACUCCUCGCGUCUGGGUCCGGUGGGUGACUUGCCAGCAACCCCCAAUUUUUUUCAGGUUGACCUCGGAUCAGGUAGGGAUACCCGCUGAACUUAA